GUGCCAGCCGCCGCGGUAAGACAGAGGUGGCAAGCGUUGUUCGGUGUCACUGGGCUUAAAGGGUGUGUAGGCGGAUGAGCAAGCGCGUUGUGAAAUCCCUCGGCUUAACCGAGGAACAGCUUCGCGUACUACUCGUCUUGAGGCAGGUAUGGGUGCGGGGAACUGUUGGUGGAGCGGUGGAAUGCGUAGAUAUCAACAGGAACGCCGGUGGUGAAGACGCUGCACUGGGCCUGUCCUGACGCUGAGACACGAAAGCGUGGGGAUCGAACGGGAUUAGAAACCCUGGUAGUCC
rnacentral:rRNA from 1 species